AAAAUGUAUUCUCAAAAAGGCUUAACAACGAAUUCAAAUUUGUUUUCAAAUCCUUAUUGUAUCAAUGUAAAACUAUCGGUAACAUCAGAAAUAGAAUAGGACUAAAGUGCGAUAGAGAUUAUACAAAUUACCACUUUCAAAAUUUUACAAUCUUUCUUUUUUUUUUUUUUUUUACAAUUUCCAGUAAAGAAUUAAACAUCAAUUUCCAACAUAUCCUAAAUUAAGAAAUUAAAGAAUCAUAAUCCGUUUUUAAAAUUGGAAUCCAUCAAACAUAAUUCCUACAGUUUUAUCUUACUCUUAGGUAUAAAUCGACUAAAACAUACACAGUCACUCUAAUCCUCUUAACAAAUUUCAAAUCGUAUUCAUCACUCCAACAUAUUUACUUACAACCUAAUGUACUUAAUUAACUAAUUUCAAGUAGGAUACAUUUUUAAACAAAUCAUGUUUUUGUUUUUUUAAUUAUUAUGGUCAUUAUUUAUUAUACGAUCUACAGACUUCCCAAUUAUAUUAUAUUUAAAGAAAAAACCAAUUUUUUUAAUAACAGUUUUAAAUAAAGACAUUUUAAUAUUAUAUAAACGUUAGUCGUAGUAUUUGUAUUGUAUAAGUAUCAUACAAGUUAAUGUUAAUUGUUAUAUUGAAUUACUAAAAUUUUGGGUUUUUUCGUCUCGAUUCAAAGAUAUUUAUUUAUAUUUACAACACCCUUUGACAGAUAAAUGGUAAGGAAUAAAUAUAUAUAUAUAUAUAUAUAUAUUUAACCACUAUAUUUAACUUUUGUUUUUCAUUUACUCAAUUUUAUAAUUAUACGACAUAUUUUCACAUAUUAGCCAAUAAAAAUUCAAAACAUUCAUAUUCAACGGAGUGCAUAGACACCAGUAAUACAUAACAGUAGUUAACGUAUAUAUUUAAAAUAAAUACAACUUUAAACAAUAUUUACGAGUAAAAAACCUACAUAAAAAUAAACCUACCUAAAUAAACACUAUAAUAUAGAUAUAGAUAACACAGGGAAUUUAUAAUAUAUAAAAGAUAGUCAAUUUAUUUGUAAGUAAAUGACUAAAAUAAUACGAUAGCAAGAACUGCACCUAGUACAAUAUAUAGGUUUAGUGUACU